UACAGAGGUCCCAAGCGUUGUUCGGAUUCACUGGGCGUAAAGGGUGCGUAGGCGGUCGGGUAAGUCUGAUGUGAAAGCUCGGAGCUCAACUCCGAAAUGGCAUCGGAAACUAUUCGGCUCGAGGAAUGGAGGGGAGACUGGAAUACUUGGUGUAGCAGUGAAAUGCGUAGAUAUCAAGUGGAACACCAGUGGCGAAGGCGAGUCUCUGGACUAUUUCCUGACGCUG
rnacentral:rRNA from 1 species